GGCCGAAUGGUCUAGUGGUAUGAUUCUUGCUUUGGGUCCUAGGACAAUUGCAAGAGGCCCCGGGUUCAAAUCCCGGUUCGGCCC